CAAUUUCGUAAAAAAAAUCAGCCACUCUGUCAAGGAUGUUUAAACGUCUCCUUCGUCACCUGUCGCAGCAGAUGGAGAAGUUCCCUCUCUCCUCCACACAAACGGCUUCUACCGUACUCUUAAACCCCUAUUCGUCAGAAACGAAGUAGGACAAGAAGAAAAUCGACUAAAGGAAUUCGGCAUUUCCAAAACCCUAGCUAGCUCUCCGAUCAAAACCCUAGCCAACUCUUCAGAUUCCACAUAUAAACCCUAGAAUUGGAGAAUGGUGGGCCCGCUCGCAGGCUUGCAAGAUCAUCUCAAGCUUGCGCGAGAGUAUGCCCUAGAAGGUCUGUAUGAUACCGCCAUCAUCUUCUUUGAUGGCGCCAUCGCUCAGAUCAACAAGCACCUAAGCACUCUCGAUGAUCCUUCACUUCGUACGAAAUGGAUGAAUUGCAAGAAAGGUCUUUCUGAGGAAAUAGACAUUGUGAAACAGUUGGAUGCAGAAAGAAGGUCCUUCAAGGAAAUUCCAGGGAUCGGGCGAUCUUCUUCACCCCCAAUUCGUGUUAAAUCAGGAGGCUUUGUGUUCCAACCUCUGGAUGAGUACCCAACUUCCUCAGGUGCCCCCAUGGAUGACCCUGAUGUUUGGAGACCGCCCAGCAGGGACACUCAUGGAAGUAGAAGACCAACAAGGGCUGGCCAAGCGAGCAUGAGAAAAUCUACACAAGAUGCAACGUGGGCUCGUGGUUCAACUAGGCCAGGAACUGUUGGUCGCGGAGCAAAGUCUAAUGCCUCAAGCAGAACUAGCACUGGAGUUCGCUCAUCAACUGCUUCAGGACUGCCUGCUAAAAAAGGCACUGCCUCUGGCAGAUCCAAUGCGAGUAAAACAGAUUCUUUGAAUGGUGAUGCAGAUGAAGGAAAGUCAAGGAAGGGACAGUAUGAAGGACCUGAUCCGGACUUGGCUGCAAUGCUUGAAAGGGAUGUCUUGGAGACCAGCCCUGGUGUAAGAUGGGAUGAUGUUGCAGGACUUUCGGAAGCUAAAAGACUUUUGGAGGAAGCUGUGGUCCUUCCUUUGUGGAUGCCUGAGUAUUUUCAGGGUAUUCGCCGACCAUGGAAAGGAGUUCUUAUGUUUGGCCCUCCUGGUACUGGAAAGACACUUCUAGCUAAAGCAGUUGCUACAGAAUGUGGAACAACAUUUUUCAAUGUUUCCUCUGCUACCCUAGCUUCAAAAUGGCGCGGGGAGAGUGAGCGCAUGGUUCGAUGCUUGUUUGACCUUGCAAGAGCUUAUGCUCCAAGUACAAUUUUUAUCGAUGAGAUUGACUCUCUUUGCAAUGCUCGGGGGGCUUCAGGAGAGCAUGAAUCAUCCAGAAGGGUGAAGUCUGAACUUCUAGUUCAGGUAGAUGGUGUUAACAACAGCUCUACUGGUGAAGAUGGUGCAAGGAAAAUAGUGAUGGUGUUGGCAGCUACUAAUUUUCCAUGGGACAUAGAUGAGGCACUCAGAAGAAGGUUGGAAAAGCGAAUAUAUAUACCUCUUCCAAACUUUGAGAGUCGUAAGGAGCUUAUCCGGAUUAACCUUAAAACUGUUGAGGUUGCUCCUGAUGUAAAUAUUGAUGGGGUGGCCCGCCGUACAGAAGGUUAUAGUGGAGAUGAUCUUACAAACGUUUGUCGAGAUGCUUCCUUGAAUGGCAUGAGGCGUAAGAUUGCAGGCAAAACACGGGAUGAGAUCAAGAACAUGUCCAAGGAUGAGAUUUCAAAGGACCCAGUUGCCAUGUGUGACUUCGAAGAAGCUCUGACCAAGGUCCAGCGCAGUGUUUCAGCAGCUGACAUAGAACGCCAUGAGAAGUGGUUUUCAGAGUUUGGAUCGGCAUGAAAUCUCAGGGGAAUGCCGAAGUCACUCAGCGUACCUGUUGGUCCUUCCGGUUCACAUUUAUUGAUGUUUGAAUGGUUUUGUGGCCGACCCCAAUUUGUUGGGGAAUGAGGCUUAGAUGGUGAUGUGAUUUUGAAUGUCUUUUUUUUUUUUUUUUUUUCUGGCAGUUUUAAUCCCUGCAGAUGUGUUGAAGAGAAUAUCCCAAUUCCAUGAUAGUGAUUCCUAGAUGACGACGACGACGACAACAACGAUAAUGCUUAGAUGGUGGUGAUGGUUAUUAUGCCUAAACGAUGAUGCUCAAAUAGUGAUGAUGAUGAUGAUAGGCAAAUGAGGAUGGUGAUUUAUGAUGCCCUGAUGAUGCUGCCCAAAUGGUAACGAUGAUAUCCAGAUGGUGACGA